GUCUACGGCCAUGCCACCCUGAACAAGCCUGAUCCCAUCUUAUCUCAGAAGCUAAGCAGUGUCGGGCCUGAUUAGUACUUGGAUGGGAGACCACCUAGGAAGACCAGGUGCUAAAGGCA
rnacentral:rRNA from 1 species